UUUCCGUAGGUGAACCUGCGGAAGGAUCAUUAUUGUAUAACCGAGGUGCGAGGGCUGUCGCUGACCCGAAAGGUCGUGCACGCCCGAGUGCUCUCACACACAUCCAUCUCACCCCUAUGUGCACCACCGCGUGGGUCCCCCUUUGGCUUGUUCGGAGGGGGGCUUACGUUUUCACUCAAACUUUGUAUGCAGUGUAGAAUGUAUUUUUUGUUUUUGCGAUCACGCAAUCAAUACAACUUUCAACAACGGAUCUCUUGGCUCUC
rnacentral:misc_RNA from 1 species